UAAAUAGCCCGGCCCGCCUUGGCGGGUCGCCGGCUUCUUAGAGGGACUAUCGGCUCAAGCCGAUGGAAGUUUGAGGCAAUAACAGGUCUGUGAUGCCCUUCGAUGUUCUGGG
rnacentral:rRNA from 1 species